AGAGUUUGAUCCUGGCUCAGAACGAACGCUACGCGUGCUUCAAACAUGCAGUCGUACGCGAAAGUGACUUCGGUCACGAGUAGAGUGGCGCACGGGUGAGUAACACGUAGUUAACAUUCCCUCUCGCUGGGGAUAACUCCGGGAAACCGGAGCUAAUACCGAAUGAUCUGUCGGGGUCUGCGGACCCCUCCGGUAAAGCCGUAAGGCGCGAGAGGAUUGGGCUGCGUUCCAUUAGCUAGUUGGCGGGGUAAUGGCCCACCAAGGCUACGAUGGAUAGCUGGUCUGAGAGGAUGAUCAGCCACACUGGAACUGACACACGGUCCAGACUCCCACGGGAGGCAGCAGUUGGGAAUAUUGGACAAUGGGGGAAACCCUGAUCCAGCGACGCCGCGUGAAUGAUGAAGGCCUUCGGGUCGUAAAGUUCUUUUAGUGGGGAAGAAGGGAAACUUGACUGUACCCACAGAAAAAGCACCGGCUAACUCUGUGCCAGCAGCCGCGGUAAUACGUA
rnacentral:rRNA from 1 species